UACGUAGGGACCAAGCGUUGUUCGGAUUUACUGGGCGUAAAGGGCUCGUAGGCGGCCAACUAAGUCAGACGUGAAAUCCCUCGGCUUAACCGGGGAACUGCGUCUGAUACUGGAUGGCUAGAGGUUGGGAGAGGGACGCGGAAUUCCAGGUGUAGCGGUGAAAUGCGUAGAUAUCUGGAGGAAUACCGGUGGCGAAGGCGGCAUCCUGGACCGGCAUUGACGCUGAGGAGCGAAAGCUAGGGGAGCAAACGGG
rnacentral:rRNA from 1 species